rnacentral:rRNA from 1 species
UAGGGAAUCUUCCACAAUGGACGCAAGUCUGAUGGAGCAACGCCGCGUGAGUGAAGAAGGUCUUCGGAUCGUAAACUCUGUUGUUAGAGAAGAACACGAGUGAGAGUAACUGUUCAUUCGAUGACGGUAUCUAACCAGCAAGUCACGGCUAACUACGUGUCAG